AGCGAACGCUGGCGGCAGGCUUAACACAUGCAAGUCGAACGGUCCUUCGGGAUAGUGGCGGACGGGUGAGUAACACGUGGGAACGUACCCUUAGGUUCGGAACAACACAGGGAAACUUGUGCUAAUACCGGAUAAGCCCUUCGGGGGAAAGAUUUAUCGCCUUUGGAGCGGCCCGCGUCUGAUUAGCUUGUUGGUGAGGUAAUGGCUCACCAAGGCUACGAUCAGUAGCUGGUCUGAGAGGAUGGCCAGCCACACUGGGACUGAGACACGGCCCAGACUCCUACGGGAGGCAGCAGUGGGGAAUCUUGCGCAAUGGGCGAAAGCCUGACGCAGCCAUGCCGCGUGGAUGAUGAAGGUCUUAGGAUUGUAAAAUCCUUUCACCGGGGACGAUAAUGACGGUACCCGGAGAAGAAGCCCCGGCUAACUUCGUGC
rnacentral:rRNA from 1 species